rnacentral:rRNA from 1 species
CUUAAAACCCAAAGGACUUGACGGUGCCCCACCCCCCUAGAGGAGCCUGUCCUAUAAACGAUAAUCCCCGCUAAACCCCUCCACUAUUAGCCUUUCAGCCUGUAUACCUCCGUCGCAAGCUCGCCAAAUGAUUGCCCCACAGCGAGCUCAAUGAUUUAUCACCCAUACGUCAGGUCAAGGUGCAGCCAAUAUAGUGGAAAGAGAUGGGCUACAAUUUCUAACAUAGAACACACGGAUUACUACUUGAAACAGUGGUAUGAAGGCGGAUUUAGAAGUAAGAAGAAAAUAGAGUGUUCUUCUUAAUAUGGCACUGGGUCGCGUACAAACCGCCCGUCACCCUCUUCGAUAGCACCCCCUCCUAUUCAUAAUUAAUUUCGCAUCCAAGAAGAGGCAAGUCGUAACAUGGUAAGUAUACUGGAAAGUGUACUUGGUAA